rnacentral:rRNA from 1 species
UCUGACUNGAGUGCAGAAGGGGAGAGUGGAAUUCCAUGUGUAGCGGUGAAAUGCGUAGAUAUAUGGAGGAACACCAGUGGCGAAAGCGGCUCUCUGGUCUGUCACUGACGCUGAGGCUCGAAAGCGUGGGUAGCGAACAGGAUUAGAUACCCUGGUAAUNCACGCCGUAAACGAUGAGUGCUAGGUGUUAGGCCCUUUCCGGGGCUUAGUGCCGGAGCUAACGCAAUAAGCACUCCGCCUGGGGAGUACGACCGCAAGGUUGAAACUCAAAGGAAUUGACGGGGGCCCGCACAAGCGGUGGAGCAUGUGGUUUAAUUCGAAGCAACGCGAAGAACCUUACCAGGUCUUGACAUCCCGAUGCUAUUCUUAGAGAUAGGAAGUUACUUCGGUACAUCGGAGACAGGUGGUGCAUGGUUGUCGUCAGCUCGUGUCGUGAGAUGUUGGGUUAAGUCCCGCAACGAGCGCAACCCUUAUUGUUAGUUGCCAUCAUUAAGUUGGGCACUCUAGCGAGACUGCCGGUAAUAAACCGGAGGAAGGUGGGGAUGACGUCAAAUCAUCAUGCCCCUUAUGACCUGGGCUACACACGUGCUACAAUGGUCGGUACAACGAGUUGCGAGCCGGUGACGGCAAGCUAAUCUCUGAAAGCCGAUCUCAGUUCGGAUUGGAGGCUGCAACUCGCCUCCAUGAAGUCGGAAUCGCUAGUAAUCGCGGAUCAGCACGCCGCGGUGAAUACGUUCCCGGGCCUUGUACGCACCGCCCGUCACACCACGAGAGUUUGUAACACCCGAAGUCGGUGAGGUAACCUUUUAGGGNCCA